UGUUUGGUGAAGAAGAGAUAGAAAAAUUGAGGAAAAAUAAUACAGAGAGUGUUUUGAGGACAGAGAUGCCGAGAUGGAUGAGACUUGGUGCUCAGAUGAAUAAUUUUUGUUUUCAAGUGUUAAAUUGCAAAAAGGAAGCAAAAAUGAUGCCUUGUGGAAUUUUGAACAAAAAGGGUGCCAAUUCUGAAAUUCUGGUAGCAGUAGAACCUGACUUUUGUCACCAUUUUUGACCUAGGAAACUCAAGAACUGGACUUCCAUCAUAACAUCAAAGAUUUAGAGCUCUGAAUCAUCUUUCCAAAUCUUCAAGCGGUUUGUCAUUCGGAGUUCGGAGUAGAGAGUUAUGAUUUUCUUAUCAGAGGUGCUCAGAACUGCCUGGCAGCAAUGAAUUUCUGCCUUGCUCUUCAAUUUCGACCUACCAGACUUGAUAAUUGGAUCUUCACCAAUGCAUAAAGUUUUUAGAUCUCUGAAUUAGCUUUCCAAAUAUUCAAAUGGUUCAUCAUUCAGAGUUCAUAGCGCAAAGUUAUGGCUAUUUUACCAAAGCAGGUCCGGGCGAAUCAAUGCAAGCAUAGAGCAAUCUGCUCCAUUUUCGAGUGCUCGAGGCCUUAUUUCGAGCACUCGAAAUUGGGGCAGAAUUGCCUUUGGGAAUCCUCAUUUUGGCAGCCACUUUUGCAUUGGUUUCCUCAUUUCUACUUACUUCUUUAUGAGGUGGUUGGGGAUAUUUUUGGAGGAGAGAGAGAGCUUUGUUAGAGGAGAUAAGGCAAGGGAGGCCACACAUUUACAUUAACCUUCAUUUUUACAAGAUAGAGGAGAGAGGAUAGAGCAAAGGAAGGAGAGUUCUUGGAGCAAGAGAGGGGAGCUCGAAAAUGGAAAGAGGAUCCAUGGUUCUUCUUCAUUCUAAGGCUCCCAUGUGUAACUAACUCCUCCUCUAAGGAGGUAAUGGAACCCCUCAUUGUAAGCAUGCUUUACUUUUGAUUCUAGUUUGGGAAAAAUAAUGUAUUUUUGUGGUGAUUCCAUAAUCUAGAACUCUUACUUGAUGUAAUGAAUUGAUUUUGAUUUAAUGAUCAUGUUGGACCUA